rnacentral:rRNA from 1 species
GACGAACGCUGGCGGCGUGCUUAACACAUGCAAGUCGAACGGUGAAGGGGCCUGCUUUUGUGGGCCCUGGAUGAGUGGCGAACGGGUGAGUAACACGUGAGUAACCUGCCCCCUUCUUCUGGAUAACCGCAUGAAAGUGUGGCUAAUACGGGAUAUUCUGGGUCUGUCGCAUGAUGGGUCUGGGAAAGAUUGCGCCUUUGGGUGUUUUUGGUGGGGGAUGGGCUCGCGGCCUAUCAGCUUGUUGGUGGGGUGAUGGCCUACCAAGGCGGUGACGGGUAGCCGGCCUGAGAGGGUGGACGGUCACACUGGGACUGAGACACGGCCCAGACUCCUACGGGAGGCAGCAGUGGGGAAUAUUGCACAAUGGGCGCAAGCCUGAUGCAGCGACGCCGCGUGAGGGAGGGAGGCCUUCGGGGUGUAAACCUCUUUCGCCAGUGAAGCAGGCCUGCUCCUUGUGGGUGGGUUGACGGUAGCUGGAUAAGAAGCGCCGGCUAACUACGUG